rnacentral:rRNA from 1 species
AGCGGCAAACGGGGUAGUAGUACGUCGGAACGUGCCCUGAGGUCAGGAAUAGCCACGGGAAACUGUGGGUAAUGCCCGAUAACCUCUACGGAGCAAAGAUUUAUCGCCAUGGGAGCGGCCGACGCGAUACUAGGUAGUUGGUGGGGUAAUGGCCCACCAAGCCUACGAUGUCUAGGGGGUGUGAGAGCAUGGCCCCCACCACUGGGACUGAGAACUGCCCAGACACCUACGGGUGGCUGCAGUCGAGAAUCUUCGGCAAUGGACGAAAGUCUGACCGAGCGACGCCGCGUGUGGGAUGAAGGCCCUUGGGUUGUAAACCACUGUCAGGGGGGACUAAGCGAAAGUUGAAGGAGCCCCAGAGGAAGCGCGGGCUAAGUUCGUGCCAGCAGCCGCGGUAAUACGAACUGCGCGAACGUUAUUCGGAAUCACUGGGCUUAAAGGGUGCGUAGGCGGCGAUGCAAGUCAGGUGUGAAAGCCAACAGCUCAACUGUUGAACUGCGCUUGAAACUGCAUUGCUUGAGUGUGACAGGGGUCUUCGGAACUUCCAGUGGAGCGGUGAAAUGUGUUGAUAUUGGAAGGAACACCGGUGGCGAAAGCGGAAGACUGGGUAAGCCCUGACGCUGAGGCACGAAAGCCAGGGGAGCNAACGGGAUUAGAUACCCNGGUAGUCCUGGCCNUAAACG